rnacentral:tRNA from 1 species
GGGCGCAUAGCUCAGCUGGUUAGAGCGCGUCGCUGAUAACGACGAGGUCCGUGGUUCGAGUCCACGUGCGCCCACCA